UACGGAAGGGGCGAGCGUUGUUCGGAAUCACUGGGCGUAAAGCGCGCGUAGGCGGCUUUGCAAGUGCGGCGUGAAAGUCCUGGGCUCAACCUGGGGACGGCGCUGCGGACUGCAUGGCUGGAGUCUGGAAGAGGGUGGUGGAAUUCCGAGUGUAGAGGUGAAAUUCGUAGAUAUUCGGAGGAACACCGGUGGCGAAGGCGGCCACCUGGUCCGGCACUGACGCUGUAGCGCGAAAGCUAGGGGAGCAAACGGG
rnacentral:rRNA from 1 species